rnacentral:rRNA from 1 species
UACGUAUGGUGCAAGCGUUAUCCGGAUUUACUGGGCGUAAAGGGUGCGUAGGCGGCUUUGCAAGUCAGAAGUGAAAUCCAUGGGCUUAACCCAUGAACUGCUUUUGAAACUGCAAGGCUUGAGUGAAGUAGAGGCAGGCGGAAUUCCCGGUGUAGCGGUGAAAUGCGUAGAGAUCGGGAGGAACACCAGUGGCGAAGGCGGCCUGCUGGGCUUUAACUGACGCUGAGGCACGAAAGCAUGGGUAGCAAACAGG